UUUCAACUGCCUCUACAAUGCCUCUUUGCCUGUCAGACAGUAUUGUAAGUCUAGGCAUGUUAUCAGUAUUUACUCCAAGGAGCUUACGUAAUUCUGACAUGAACCACAUCCAAUUUUCAUCACUUUCUGUAUCAACAAUAGCAAUGGCCAGAGGAAAUAAUGCAUCAUCAGCAUCAACAGCUGCAGCACAAAGUAAUGUACCCAAAUAUUUUCCUUUAAGAUGUGCUCUGUCAAGUUCCAGAAGUGGCCUACAAGCAUUUAUAAACCCAUAAAUACAUGCACGAUAAGAAAUAAAGAGGCGCUGGAAACAAUUUUCCUGUCCAGUAGCAAAAACCGAAGCAAUGCUCCCUGGGUUUGUUUUCCUUAUCUGCUCACAAUACACAGGCAGAAGGCGGUACCCUUCUUCAAAAGUACCAUGAAGUGCAGCCAUGCUGCGCUCCUUUCCACGCCAAGCUUGCAUAUAAGACACAGCAACCCCAUGUUGGUCACGGAUAUCUUGUAGGAUUUCCUUUGG
rnacentral:misc_RNA from 1 species